GCUUUCAUUUGAAUUAGCGGUAAACACUUAAAAAUGUUUUGAAAAGGGAAUUGAGUUAAUAUGCUCAAGCUGUCCCAGCAACUGUAAUGAUGAUGAACAUUGUAUUUACUCACUGAAAAAAUUUUUUGGGAAGAAACAAUUAGUAAAAUGAUUCUAAGCCAGUAGACCUGCCGUUAACUCUUGGUAAAA
rnacentral:ncRNA from 2 species